rnacentral:lncRNA from 1 species
AAAUGCUUGGACCUGAUGACUUGAGCGAAGGAGACUCUUCAAGACCCCAAACGCCUCGCCGACGCUCUGCCCGCCCCGCAAGGCCUCACCUGUGUAAUUACCCUCUGGCUAGUCUUCCUGCCUCAACCGCGGCCAAGUUUACACAAUAAGAGGGUCAAAAAGAAACCCGAGACAUCUCCUCGCGCCCAGCCCCCAGUCCCAAAAGAACUGUACUGUGCUGCCCCGGGUCGCCCCUGCAACACCCCUGGCCCUGAGAGGCCGGGCCUGAGGGUCGUCCCGGGAAGGUGUUUACAGCCGGGCGAUCGCCCCUCCUCGGUGCAGCCUGCCGGUGAGGGCCCCUUCCGUCCCGCCGCGGCCCCGGAUUUCCUUCAGUCCCGCCGUCCGGAGCGCCGCGCCGGCCCCUCUCCCAGCCGGAGAGUUGUUUUCAUGGCUCCCUCGGCCGACCUCUGCUGACUAACUCUCUCGCCUCCCGUCCCAAUACCUCCUCCUCCAGGCACUUGACUCCGCCGUUCGCCCAGCGGCUCACAUCACACUCCCACCUCAGACGUGAGGCUCCGAGAGGCGCAGGGCCGGCAAAAGCGGAGCGUGGCGCGCAGCGGCCCCCGAGGCUGCGCUAGGGGACCAUGGGGGCCCGAGACAACAAGCCCGACGCUCAGCCCUUCGUCCUGCCCGACUCGCACCCGAGCCCCGCGGCCCUCGGGCUUUGGCCGCCUGGCGACCUGGCCAGCCCGUUCGCCCCGCGCCUCUGCCAGCUCCUCGCCCGCCCGCUGUCUCUAGCUCUGGCGCCCCAGCUCCCUGGCCCCCUCGCUCGCCCAGUUCUUUCUCUGCUGUUUGCCCUGUCAAAACACUGCCCGGGUCACGUGUCCCAACAACAGCCAACCCACCGCUCGUCACUUCCUCCCCGGCGGCCUCAGCUGCUGGCGCCCGGUUGUUAUGACAACGCCCGGCGCGCCCAGGGGCGCUAGCCUGGGGGCCUGGGUUUCCUUGCAGGUACAGCGGGUUGCGAGGGGCUGGCGGAGCCCCGAAGGCCCGCGAGGCGCCAGGCACAUCGGCUGCGCUCGCUUCCUGUCUGCCCUUCGAGCUGGCUGAAGCGCGUCUGGGACCAGGAACCAGAGCUGCGCUAUUAGAGCACAGGGUAACCGAGGAGAUGUCAUCCGAGGGCCUGCCCCAGACUUGGAGGAUAAUUAUAGUCUCCUCCUCCUCCUCCACACGGGAUGCUGGCGCAGAGUUGUGACCCAUCCCCGAGUGGCUUGCAGUGCACAGUGGAAGCUGGAUCUAAUUGUGGCCGGGACAAUAGCGUGGGCCUCCAUACGCUUCAGGGACUGGGGAGUUUAAGAACAAGAAGCCCUCCUCACCCUAAAAAAAAAAUUUUUUUUUUUUUUUCACAUCACUAGGGAUUUUAGUAGGAUUCAGAACCCAAGCUCCCGAGGCACUUGCGGUGCUAAAAAUAACUUUUAUAAUCUCUGAAACACUGACUCAUGGCAAGAGGACACUUUUGACACCGUGUUAUUGUUGGGGAGCUGUAAUUUUGUUGUUGUGCUAUAACAAUGUGACAUGAUGACAUUUCGUGUUGCGAUGUUGUAUCAUCAUUUCAACACAAACAGAUGACAAGGAUCUGCUGUAAUUAAAAAAAGCAACCCUAGCAAGGACUGAAGCUAUUAGCUACUCAGUUUAUAGACAAAGUACAUACCGGGUUGUGAGCUUAAAAUAGAGACAAAGUACAAAAUUUACAGUCCUCUUGGGUUCAGUAUAGAAACUUUUAAAAAAAGAAACAAUUUUGCAUACAAGAAUCACAACGGGAUGAGAAGGAAAUAGCAAUCCACUCCAGUAUUCUUGCCUGGGAAAUCCCGUGGACAGAGGAGCC